rnacentral:tRNA from 1 species
AGCUCAGUUGGUUAGAGCACUAGUUUGUGGCACUAGGGGUCGUGGGUUCGAAUCCCAUCU